rnacentral:rRNA from 1 species
GUCGAGGGGCAGCAUGGUCUUAGCUUGCUAAGACUGAUGGCGACCGGCGCACCGUUGAGUAACACGUAUCCAACCUGCCGUCUACUCUUGGACAGCCUUCUGAAAGGAAGAUUAAUACAAGAUGGCAUCAUGAGUCCGCAUGUUCACAUGAUUAAAGGUAUUCCGGUAGACGAUGGGGAUGCGUUCCAUUAGAUAGUAGGCGGGGUAACGGCCCACCUAGUCUUCGAUGGAUAGGGGUUCUGAGAGGAAGGUCCCCCACAUUGGAACUGAGACACGGUCCAAACUCCUACGGGAGGCAGCAGUGAGGAAUAUUGGUCAAUGGGCGAGAGCCUGAACCAGCCAAGUAGCGUGAAGGAUGACUGCCCUAUGGGUUGUAAACUUCUUUUAUAAAGGAAUAAAGUCGGGUAUGCAUACCCGUUUGCAUGUACUUUAUGAAUAAGGAUCGGCUAACUCCGUGCCAGCAGCCGCGGUAAUACGGAGGAUCCGAGCGUUAUCCGGAUUUAUUGGGUUUAAAGGGAGCGUAGAUGGAUGUUUAAGUCAGUUGUGAAAGUUUGCGGCUCAACCGUAAAAUUGCAGUUGAUACUGGAUAUCUUGAGUGCAGUUGAGGCAGGCGGAAUUCGUGGUGUAGCGGUGAAAUGCUUAGAUAUCACGAAGAACUCCGAUUGCGAAGGCAGCCUGCUAAGCUGCAACUGACAUUGAGGCUCGAAAGUGUGGGUAUCAAACAGGAUUAGAUACCCUGGUAGUCCACACGGUAAACGAUGAAUACUCGC